GCCGGAGAAGCCUAAAGAGCCCGAAAAGCCUAAGCCACCCCCAGAAAAGCCCAAAGAGCCGGAAAAGCCCAAGCCACCCCCAGAAAAGCCCAAAGAGCCGGAAAAGCCCAAGCCACCUCCAGAAAAGCCGAAGGAGCCCGAAAAGCCCAAGCCACCCCCGGAAAAGCCCAAAGAGCCGGAAAAGCCCAAGCCACCUCCAGAAAAGCCGAAGGAGCCCGAAAAGCCCAAGCCACCUCCAGAAAAGCCCAAACCACUACCACCACCACCUGAACCGUGCUCGCACCCACCAGUUCCAGUGGGCUUUUGUUGUGUCCCAUGUUCGGAAGGGUACGGCGGGGGACCAUGCUACUACGGGUACGGGUACGGGUACGGGCGGCCUGUGCCCCCGCCAC
rnacentral:lncRNA from 1 species